GAGAGAGAGAGAGAGAGAGAAACGCAAGGUGGAGUCACUUUCAGGACCUGGAUCUGUAGAUCUGUGGGUCUGGAACAAUCAGUGGAUACUCCAGGAACGAAGAUCCCAAAGCGUGAGCUGUCCAGGAUUGUAAGGAAGGAGGGGAUAUUGCUGCGCAGAUACAAGAUCUGCACUUGAUGAUUUGUGUGGACGCUUAUCCACCAGAUGUCAGCCGAGUGUCUCGUUUGAACAAGUUCAAAAUAUCGUCUUACAUCUGAGAAAGAGGAGGAAAGGAGAGUCUAUUCCCAAGCAUCCUACCCCUCGAGGGACUCCACAUCCCCAACCGGUACAAGCAGAAGAAGUGGAGUGAGUCACUGGUCAUGCAUUCUGUUAUCAUCCAUGUUUGCAUCUGUUUUUCUUGCAAGCCUCCACUUCCCCUCUAAAUCAGUCAUUUAUAUCCUCAUCUAAAUUAUGUAAAAACACUGUUGUAAGUUAAAGACUGCUUGCAAGAGCAAAAGCCAGCUUCACCUACGCACCCUGCUCUCGAUUCUAUUUCUUGGAUGGGCCAUGCUCAUUUCUUGUCAUAUGUGUUUGAGUACACUAGCCAGGGUUAGUGGUGCUUGCUGCUGUAACCAAAAACAUCCGAAUAAUGGCAGCCCAGUGGCAGGGUCUUGGUUCUCCUCAGAGAAGGCCUGCAGGAAGAGAGUGGUUGCUGGCCACUCAUGUGGGGACUCAGUCAUGCUUCUGUUGAUGUUCUGUGUACUAUCUUCAUCCCGGGCUUUCAAGUCUUCUCUGGAAGAAGAGGAAACGGGGUUGGUGUGCUGAAAUGUGGGAGAGGCUUUAUGCUGGAGCAAGAUGCACUCUCAGUUCUCUCAGCUCUCACAGACCGCAAGAAAGAGCCCAGCACAAAAGGGCAGGCUAUUGCGGAGAACUAGGAGCAUGGAGUUUAGCUGAGGUCCCAAGAAGGGCCAGAGAAGCACAGCGCAUUGCCCUUACCACUGUGGGACUGAAGACCUGGGAUAUCUUUCACAAGGCAUUUGAAGAGCCAAAUGUCAGAUAAGUAGAUCUGCAGACCCUGUGUGCUGAAGCCGUGGGUUCUAGACAUCCCCUGGAGGGUUUCCUAAUGUGUUAGCUGUCAUGCUUCCCCAGGUCUCAGCAGGCAAGCGGCCUCUGGCUAAGUGCCACUAAACCUCUCCUAAGAUGUUCUUUUCUUAGAUCUGGGUCUGAGUGAGUGGGACCCCAUCCUCUAGUAACGUCACCAUUACUGCCAAAGGGAGGGCUGGGGCGGGGGAAAGAGCAGAUGGAUCUCCUGUGCCCAUCCCUGCUCCGGCCUGACCGCUGCUGUGCUCACCCCCUCCCUGCCUGACCGCUGCUCUUUCACCACAUUUUUUAAAACAUCCCUCUGAGUGUCAGGCACCAGAGGCACCUUGGGAGCCUCGCUGGGCUGCAGCGCAGGGAGCAUCGCUGGGCAGCCGGCACGCGCUAACUGGAUAUGCUCAGGUCUGUCUGGAUCGCCUCUGAAACAUUACUAACUUCAGAUCUUGAUUUUUUUCCUUAGAAGUGAAGCCAAGUUAUGAAGCCAGCAUUCCUGUCAAUCCUAAUCCCCGACUCCAUCUUCAUCCAUGGAUUGUCCAAGUAUAUUCUAAUUUUCAACCCAAUAUGUAAUUAAUGUUCACAGUGAUUAGUAAUUGUAGAGCAGACAAGAAUUGCCCAGGCAGUAGUACCUGAGGGAUUUGGAGCUCAAUUUUUAGGGAAAUGGCCUCACUGGAUGCCCUUCUGCAUCAUCUAACUACAUGUGACCAUGAAGAAAGGUCCCUUCUACUCAUAAGCCCACACUGAUGUACUACAAUCACUGGAGGCUAAGCCUAUGUGUUAAGGUACCCUCUGCUCUUAAAAUAAGAGUUGAGCUCUUUGUCCUUUUAUUCUGUUUAUAAACACAGUAACUAACAGACUGUAAAAAUAAUGCAGGCACAGAAUAGCAUAAAGAUAACAAAAGCCGCCUUUCUACAGUAUGGAACUCUUACAAGAAAUGUACACAAAAUGCAGGUGUGCCCCGAAGCACGUGGCAGAGACUCACAGGCUACAAAACAGAAAGCGCACGGAGCCCUUGACAAGAUCACACCCCACCCUUACCCAGGGCUAUGAUGGUUUUCUCUGAAACGUUCCAUUUUUAGUGUAUGUGCUCCUGGAAAAAAAUUAACUCAAAAACUAUGAAGACGGCUUUCUGUGUUAACAAAGAAAUUAUAGUUCCUCGAAUAUGUCAUUAAUUUUUCAUGCCUCAUUAUUUGUGAUAUUAAAGAAGGAAGGAAUGGUCAGAGGGAGGUUAAACAGCUCCUGGUUGAGCCACCAUGCCCUACCUCCAUGGUAUAUGUCAUCAGUUUCUUUAAAAUACUUUUAUUGUUAUAUAUUCAUUGUAUAUAGACCUGGGAUCAUAGAGACAUAAUUGGCUUUUGGGUGAUUUGACAUCUCCGACUAUCUGAAAUGAGCACGCCAGUAUAUUAGUCUGUUUUUAUUAUAAUGAUCAAAUACCAGGGGCUGGAUGCUUUGUGACAAGGUUUGUUUGUGUCUCUGGUGAUUCAAGGACACGGUGGUGGCACUGGCUGGAUCCUUGUGAGGAUUGCAUGACACCUCAAUGGUGGGAGCAGAUAGCAAGGAGGAGAAAUGAUGAGGUAAGGCUGGAAGCUGGAUGUGAGCCGGUGAGACCGGAAGCUGGAUAUGAGAUGGUGAGACCGGAAGCUGCAUGCGGUCAGGUAGGGGAGCAGGAUUGCCCUCUAUUGUGGUAAGAGCCACUUACGGUCCCCUCCCCCCACCAGUGCUACUUCCCAUUGUAUUCCAUGUCCUACACAUGAUCUUUGACAAGAUCCUAGGGCUUGUCAAACCACCAGUACCCAACAUAUGAGCCCUUGGGGAGGAUGCUCAGAUCCUAUCCAAACCACGGCCCGUGCUCUCCACUUGCAUCUCGCUCUUGGAACAGCAGCCCUUCUCUUCAGCCCCUUCAGCCAUCUCAUUCCUUCAAUCUCCUUUACUGUCUGCUUGUUUCCUUGAGAGCUCACAUUGCAGCUCACUCUUCCAGGGACCAGAGUCUUCCCCGGCGAUGCUAAAUUUGGACUCUACUGCUCUGCCUUCGUAUCUCUGUGAAUAAGUCGUGUGAUUUUUUUUUGUCUCAAUCUUUCAAAAGGCUUUGCAAUAAUGAUUCAACUCAGUGUAUGUGGUAUCAAUGGAGCAUACAAACUCACCAUGGAGUUCACGCGUGUCCAAGCAAUUAGGAGGCUAACCACCCUGUGAAAAACACAUAUCCCAGAGGCAACGAAAUUAGCAUCUAGGCGGCAGCAUCUUUAUAAUGAAGAUUUAAUCUGAUCUUUUCGAAGACGAUAUAAGCAGUCUGCACACUUCUUAAGGAAGUACCAGUGUUCCUUUAUAAGAUGGCUGCAAAUCUGUUCUAAAAUAGUGUCUGCUACUUCAGUUAAAGUUCAAGGAAAAUUGUCCUUAAAAAGAAAACAAAUUGAAUACCAUAAGAUACAGAUACCUAAGACAUCACAGGAAGAAGUCAGUUUUGACUUAAGGAGUCCUGACUGGAAGAGGCAACCUUCUAGUGAACUGUUCCUCUGGGCAGUGUUGGGCCUUAUUCGUCUGGAUACUGAGGCCUAGUGGGGAAGCCUGAGUCUUUGCUCGAGUUUAGAGACCUGUCUUGUUCACUUCCAUACUGGAGUGGCUCAGCACAACCUACUUAAGCCUGCCUUUGCCUAGCUACCACUGAUGUAGAAUAACUUUAUUGGCCCUGUCAGUCACCCCAUACCCUCCAUCACCCUUCCCCGGCCCCUACCUCAUCUCACCUCACCAAAAAUCCCCACCUCCUUCCUCAACCCUAUAUAAACAAAAGACUGAUGCAAUAAAAUGAGUUCCUGCUUUGAUAGACUCCCAGCCCCUGGCAUGUUUGUUUUGGGCCACUCAGCCUUGGAGGGACUAGGCUAGACUGGGUUCUCUCCUCUCACCUGGACUCGCUAGCAGAUAGCUGACAGGGCUGGACAUAGGGCUCAGUGGGAGAGUGCUAAUCUAGUAUGAUAAAACUUUGAGUACAGCUUUCAUCAACACGUGUACAUGCAUGCACAUACGCACACAUUCACACACACAUUCACACACAUGCAUGCAUACAUUCACACAUUUGCAUACACGUGUGUGCAUACACAUUACAAAGAAACAUGUUAGGUCAGAUAAGCAAUUUAAAGUUGGAGACAUGCUAAACACAUGACUACAAACAUACAUUGCAUCUCAAUGUGUUUUAGGUAGAGGCUUCUCCUCCAGCCUAUAGAAUAAUACACACACGGACAGUACCAUUAUCUUACCUUAGUAUUCGGCUGGUUUUGAAAAGCAAUAAACACCAGUCCUGUAUUUUACCUUUUGUGAGAGUUUGGAUGAAUAUGGCCCCAUAGGUCUGUAGGGAGUAGCACCAUUAGGAGGUAUGGUGCUGUUGGUGUUGGUGUGGCCUUGUUGGAGGAAAUGUGUCACUUGGGGUAGGCUUCGAGGGUUAAGGAGCUCAAGCCAGGCCCAGUGACUGACUGUCUUUUGCUGCUGCCUAUGGAUCCAGAUGUAGAACUCUCAGC